GACGAACGCUGGCGGCGUGCUUAACACAUGCAAGUCGAACGGAAAGGCUCUGCUUUUGUGGGGUGCUCGAGUGGCGAACGGGUGAGUAACACGUGAGUAACCUGCCCUUGACUUUGGGAUAACUUCAGGAAACUGGGGCUAAUACCGGAUAGGAGCUCCUGCUGCCUGGUGGGGGUUGGAAAGUUUCGGCGGUUGGGGAUGGACUCGCGGCGUAUCAGCUUGUUGGUGGGGUAGUGGCUUACCAAGGCUUUGACGGGUAGCCGGCCUGAGAGGGUGACCGGACACACUGGGACGGAGAUGCGGCACAGACUCCUCCGGGAGGCAGCAGUGGGGAAGAGUGCACAAUGGGCGGAAGCCUGAUGCAGUAACGCCGCGUGGGGGAUGACGGCCUUCGGGUUGUAAUCCGCUUUCGCCUGUGACGAAGCGUGAGUGACGGUAAUGGGUAAAGAAGCACCGGCUAACUACGUG
rnacentral:rRNA from 1 species